rnacentral:lncRNA from 1 species
UCCACCUCUAGCCCCAUUUUUCUUUUCAAAUCAAUAGGCCAUACAUAUGGUACAAGAGCUUGUCAAGUCAGCCACCCUACAACUACAUCUGUCCCUUCUUCAUACUUAUCAUUGGAGAGGUAACUGCCAACCUUCUCCUUUAAACAAAAGCAACUAGCAACUUCCUUCAACUCUUUAUUAUCCCACACUGAAGAAACCCAUGAGAAGAACAAGAAUCUUUCAUCCUUCUCAGCCAACAUUCAAGGUAAAAUCUUGCUAGAAUCUCCUCCCUUUUUCCUCUAUGAUUUAUCCUGCAUUCAUUAAAGAGCAGCUUGACAUCAUUUCAGCAAAUUUUCGUCUGCCUCCCCUUCCACCAAAGACAACGGAUGCAGAUUUGAAAACCAACAUAAGAGAAAAACCAGCAAGUACAGAUCAUUUCAAAAGGUUUCACCUUGAACAACUAUGCCUAUUUCAUUCUACAUAGUAUUUGCACCUAUCAUUGCUAUGCUACGCAUUCAAUGCAUUAUACAUAUAUGUAUGUACAUAAUUAUUUUCAUCAUAUUGCAUAUAUGAGAUAUAUGUGUUUUGAAUAAGAGCUAUUAUUUUUGUUUCUAAACAAGGCAUAACGUUUUAAAGAAAGGAUUUUUCUUAUGAGCUUGUUGUCAUAUGUUGUUUCGAGUGGGGGGUAAGAGAGUUACCUCGCUGUGGUGUAGAGUCGAGAGGUGGAAGGAGGCAGGGCACGGCGGCGGUGCCGCUGCUGCCCGGCUA